AGCAGCUUUAGGGUGAUGUCAGCAAAGCGGUUGGUACGAAUUCCCAGCAGCAGCAGGGUCAGUGCUGAGGGGUGAGGGCUUCCUGAAAGCUGGGACGGAUGCUGGGGGUCCCAUCCAUGAAUUUACAACUGUGAGCAUGACACAGUCCAGUCAGGUCACAGGAACAGUGCUUGGGGACUACAAGAGAUGCAGGAUCCGGUGCUCAGCAAAGCAGAUAUGGUCAGUCAGCUGGAGAGAACUAGUCCUCAUCAGUGUGGGUGAGACCAACUCCAGAAGAUGAUAUAUGAGCAGUGUUGAUGUAGCCACAGGAAUGAAUGGCUCGUUAUUCCUGGAAAGAUGUCUAGGACUGGAAGAUGAGCCAUACUGUGUUUUCCUUUAUUAUGAAGGAAGCACUGGGCAAAGUUACUCUUCUGAAUGCUGGUCAGCAUGGUCAUGAAAACACAUCACAGCUCUCCUGAGAUGCAGGUGAUCCAGGACAGGAUUAUUCUCAAUAAGUGUACACUCAAAAAGGAAAAGUCACAUUACAAACCUCAGCACAUCCUUUCCUUGCCUGCUCUGGGAUUUUGCUACUCAGGAGAUAAGAGUAAGAAUGAGCUGCCAUGUCAUUGAAAAUAGCAAAUGUCACUGGAAGUAGAGCAAAGCAACAACGCCUGCAAAAUCUGCAAGCCAGGCUGGUGAAUUUUGCCCUGGGCUGUAAUUCUGCAUCACCCGUGAUCAGUCAUGAGGAUUUGGCCAAUGAGAUGGAAGUUGUUGGGCUUGGUGAAGGACCUCACACUCAUCUCUGACAUGGGCAAAGAACAAGAAUAAUAAAUAAAAACUCUUCAGCUUGAAAGGAA